UACCAGCACCCCGAGUGGUCGGGACGUUUAUUGGGCCUAAAGCAUCCGUAGCCGGUUCUACAAGUCUUCCGUUAAAUCCAGCUGCUCAACAGAUGGGCCGCGGAGGAUACUAUAGAGCUAGGAGGCGGGAGAGGCAAGCGGUACUUAGUGGGUAGGGGUAAAAUCCGUUGAUCCAUUGAAGACCACCAGUGGCGAAGGCGGCUUGCCAGAACGCACUCGACGGUGAGGGAUGAAAGCUGGGGGAGCAAACCAGGGAUUAGAAACCC
rnacentral:rRNA from 1 species